UGGUUCGAGUAAGUUGUAAAUAGUUGGUUCCUUAGUAGGAGAUAGGAUGAUUAACGUUGGAAGGUUAUUUUUGACUGUGAAGACCAUGUGUAAUAGGGUUCUAUAUGUGAGAAGGGAUAUUUCUACAAGGGAAUUCUUCCCAACUCUGUUUAUAUCUUUUUCCCUUUUGCAUCAUCUUCUUUGGUUGUUUCAAAGAAGAGAAAGAUGAUGAAAGCUCUGCAUGGG
rnacentral:lncRNA from 1 species